rnacentral:lncRNA from 1 species
CCGUAAUUGCCUCCGGGCGGCACCUUGGCUGGCUCCCUGGGAGUCACAACUGGACACCUCAUGGAAAAGUCAAAGACACAACCUCAGAAACAAUCCUGCUUGGAGAUGCUAAACCAGGGCUCAACCACUCUUUGCUCUAGAUAAUCUUUGUCAUUGUCAAAUAGGAGAUUCAUAGAGGGGUUUAUAUAUUUCCAGAUAGGAUUAUAAAUGCUCCAGAUUCAUAGAAUGUUGGAUCUGGGGGCAAUCAACAUAAUUGAACACCACAUCCUACAGGAAGGAAAUAGAAAUCCAGAAAAUCACACAGCUAGAUGUAAUCAGGAUGGAAACUACAACCCUAUUUGCUGGCUUCCAGAGGAGCAAGAUUGGUUCUAAGAAUAGACUUGUUCCCCUGAGCCCUUGAGCUAAUAACAGGGGAGCUACUUCACUAUGUAAAGGUCACUGGAAAGAGUCUUUCUGAUGCCCAGCUACGGCAGACACCACGCUCCUACAACACCUACAGUGUUUAAGACAGAGGUAGUACAAGAGGGAGAUAAAUUACAAGGGAAGAGGGAAUCUGGGUAGGGAAUAAUCAUGCCACACCCAGCUGAGGUGUGCAUUGGGCGAUCCACAUGUAAAACUACAUUCCAGUUCCUGACUUCUGAAGUGCCCCAGUGGCUCUAACUGAAUGGCAUUCUAGCCAUGUUGUCAUCUCCCUGCUUCUAAAUUUGGCACAGCAAUUCCUACAGUUAAUUCUUCCAGCACUGCGAAAUAGAGAAAAGAGGUCAUUUGGCCUGUUUAAUAGCCAUAGUGAGGUCUCGGAUCUCAGCAUUAACCCAUUUUCCUGAAUUGCAGGUGGCAUGUGAUAUGAAUCAGUCCAUUGUCAUGAGUCACCGAUUUUGCUAAGUUCAGCCACAUCUCCUGCCCAACCCCAUUUGACCCCUGUUGAUCCAUCAGUUUGUAUCAUCACCAAGAGUCAAGGGCAUCCAACAAAAAGAGAAACCUCAAGCCCUAGCCAGCUGAAGCUGGGGAAGGAAUCCGGUGCCUGGGCCUGUGGGCAGGAGGGCCGGGGGCCUCUGCUGUCGACUCCAUGCCUCCAUUGCAGCCUGGGUGGCCUCAGCCAGGGCCUCUGCAGCUCCUCCCUCGGCUCCUUGGCCUGGAGAAAGGAAAGCGAGGUUCGCCACGGAGACCCUCUCCAAGGAAAGCGAUGUGAUUGAAUGAACCUUUGGAAAAAUAUUCAGUUUUCACGCCUGCAAAUGGUCCUUUGGUAUUUGUCUUGUGCCUCAAGACUCCCCACAUUUCUUCUAAUAACAAACUCCAUCGAGCCUCGCGCCUGUGAAUCUUAGGGUCUAAAAGCCUUUCCCAUCAGGGUCCUUUUUCCUUGGAAAUUUGAUCCUGCUUAUCUGAUAGAACUAAAAAUGGGGCCACUUUACUGGACUGUUGCUCUCCCCAAUAUAUGAAAAUAGAAGGUUUCCUCAAAAGUGUGCUCAAUUUAUGUCAAUCGUAGAUAACUUUUGCCAACACCAUCACGUAAGAGAGGAAGCAGGAAGCAUUUAAUUUGUGAUCCUGGUCGUUGCUUUCCAACAAGCGCUUAUGCCCAUAUCAAUGUGUCCUUGCAGUCCUAGAUUUCUUUCUUUCCCUUUGACCGUGUUAGACACAUGGUGACCACAUCACUAAAGGGUAUCUAAGUUCACAAAUGUGUUCUAGAGUCUCUUUCAAACACAGAUUUCGCGGUUAUUAACCAAAUCCGAGACCAAUGAGGAAUGCUUAAGUAAAUGACGGGGAAUCUAUGUGAUUCCGUUCUUGAAGAGUUGUUAGUGACAUAGGUAAAUAUUUAUGAGUUAAGUAAAAAGAAACCAGAAUAAAAAUUGUAUAUGUCAUAUGAUCUCA